rnacentral:rRNA from 1 species
UCGCUACUACCGAUUGAAUGGUCUAGUGAGGCCUCCGGAUUGCAUUAUGCGAGAUGUUGGACAAACUAUAUCAUUUAGAGGAAGUAAAAGUCGUAACAAGGUUUCCGUAG